GGAGAUCCACUUCCCCAAUCACGGUCUUACGCGACCCAUCAAAAGCUUUUACAACAACCCCACUCUGCCUCAUAGGAGGACCUUGAUAUGACAAUCGUGAGAGUGUGGAUUUUGGCAAUACAUUUAGGGACGAUCCAGUGUCCACCAGUACAUUGGACAUUGCAUCAGAUUUGCAAUUCAUGGAUAUGUGUAAAGCCAUGUUGUGGUCUCU
rnacentral:lncRNA from 1 species